rnacentral:rRNA from 1 species
UAGAAUAACGUCGAGUCAUUAUGCUCUUUUGUUUGGAGAUAUUCAUCUGUUACAAAGAGAGCUAUAUAGCUACUUUUGAAUGAGUAAAUCAAAUGUUAUCAUCCUAAUUGAAAAUUGAAAUGUUUUUAUAAAGGAGGAAUUAUUAGGAAUCUUUGGUUAGUUACUUAAAGGUGGACAGGAGAUAAACUUUGCACAUACUGCCCGUCAAACAAAAAGCGGAGAUGUAGAUGAGAACAGAAAAAACCACACAAUUGUGAAAUUGGGAUACUAAUUUGUGUUAAGUCGAAACAUGGU